GGCAAGCUAAUGAGCUAGAAUUACAUAUUGCGGCUUACCUUUGAAAAAGUCGUUUAUUUGUGUGACAUGCUGCUGUUGUUCCAAAGAAUCAUCCACAGUUCAUCGAAGUUUUCAGAGCUUUAAUAACAGAAAAAUCGCUUCCACAGUCGCCAAUGGUGUACACGCCCAUUUCAGAUAGAAUAUGUGUGCACUUUGUGACGUGUAUCAUUGCAAAACAAUAGUGUUGUGUCAUUUACGAACGAUUCGUUCAAAAGAACCGAAUCCUUUAAGUGAACGUACUGAACCAAAUCACUUCCUCAAGUGAUUCAUUUGUUU